GGAUGCGAUCAUACCAGCACUAAAGCACCGGAUCCCUUCAGAACUCUGAAGUUAAGCGUGCUUGGGCGAGAGUAGUACUAGGUUGGGUGACCUCCUGGGAAGUCCUCGUGUUGCAUUCC
rnacentral:rRNA from 1 species